rnacentral:rRNA from 1 species
AUUGACCGCUGGCGGCAGGCUUAACACAUGCAAGUCGAACGAGUGGCGGACGGGUGAGUAAUGCUUGGGAAUCUAGCUUAUGGAGGGGGAUAACUACGGGAAACUGUCGCUAAUACCGCGUACCAUAGGAUGAGCCCAAGUGGGAUUAGGUAGUUGGUGAGGUAAAGGCUCACAAAGCCGACGAUCUCUAGCUGGUCUGAGAGGAUGACGAGCAACACGGGGACUGGGACACGGCCCAGCACCCGCCGGGAGCCAGAAGUGGGGAAGAUUCGACAAUGGGGGCAAGCCUGAGGCAGCCAUGCCGCGGGUAGGAAGCAGGCCUUAGGUUUGUAAAGUACGUUCAGCGGGGAGGCGUUACCCGCAGAAGAAGCACCGGCUAACUCCGUGCCAGCAGCCGCGGUAAUAC